rnacentral:rRNA from 1 species
GCCCGUUAAUGGGUGAUGGCGUGCCUUUUGUAGAAUGAACCGGCGAGUUACGAUCCCGUGCGAGGUUAAGCUGAAGAGGCGGAGCCGCAGCGAAAGCGAGUCUGAAUAGGGCGUUUAGUACGUGGUCGUAGACCCGAAACCAGGUGAUCUACCCAUGUCCAGGGUGAAGUUCAGGUAACACUGAAUGGAGGCCCGAACCCACGCACGUUGAAAAGUGCGGGGAUGAGGUGUGGGUAGCGGAGAAAUUCCAAUCGAACCUGGAGAUAGCUGGUUCUCCCCGAAAUAGCUUUAGGGCUAGCCUUAAGUGUAAGAGUCUUGGAGGUAGAGCACUGAUUGAACUAGGGGUCCUCAUCGGAUUACCGAAUUCAGUCAAACUCCGAAUGCCAAUGACUUAUCCUUAGGAGUCAGACUGCGAGUGAUAAGAUCCGUAGUCAAGAGGGAAACAGCCCAGAUCGCCAGCUAAGGUCCCAAAGUGUGUAUUAAGUGGAAAAGGAUGUGGAGUUGCUUAGACAACUAGGAUGUUGGCUUAGAAGCAGCCACCAUUUAAAGAGUGCGUAAUAGCUCACUAGUCGAGUGACUCUGCGCCGAAAAUGUACCGGGGCUAAAUACACCACCGAAGCUGCGAAUUGAUACCAAUGGUAUCAGUGGUAGGGGAGCGUUCUAAGUGCAGUGAAGUCAGACCGGAAGGACUGGUGGAGCGCUUAGAAGUGAGAAUGCCGGUAUGAGUAGCGAAAGACGGGUGAGAAUCCCGUCCACCGAAUGCCUAAGGUUUCCUGAGGAAGGCUCGUCCGCUCAGGGUUAGUCAGGACCUAAGCCGAGGCCGACAGGCGUAGGCGAUGGACAACAGGUUGAUAUUCCUGUACCACCUCUUUAUCGUUUGAGCAAUGGAGGGACGCAGAAGGAUAGAAGAAGCGUGCGAUUGGUUGUGCACGUCCAAGCAGUUAGGCUGAUAAGUAGGCAAAUCCGCUUAUCGUAAAGGCUGAGCUGUGAUGGGGAAGCUCCUUAUGGAGCGAAGUCUUUGAAUUCCCCGCUGCCAAGAAAAGCUUCUAGCGAGAUAAAAGGUGCCUGUACCGCAAACCGACACAGGUAGGCGAGGAGAGAAUCCUAAGGUGUGCGAGAGAACUCUGGUUAAGGAACUCGGCAAAAUGACCCCGUAACUUCGGGAGAAGGGGUGCUUUCUUAACGGAAAGCCGCAGUGAAUAGGCCCAAGCGACUGUUUAGCAAAAACACAGCUCUCUGCGAAGCCGUAAGGCGAAGUAUAGGGGGUGACACCUGCCCGGUGCUGGAAGGUUAAGGAGAGGGGUUAGCGUAAGCGAAGCUCUGAACUGAAGCCCCAGUAAACGGCGGCCGUAACUAUAACGGUCCUAAGGUAGCGAAAUUCCUUGUCGGGUAAGUUCCGACCCGCACGAAAGGUGUAACGAUUUGGGCACUGUCUCAACCAGAGACUCGGUGAAAUUAUAGUACCUGUGAAGAUGCAGGUUACCCGCGACAGGACGGAAAGACCCCGUGGAGCUUUACUGUAGCCUGAUAUUGAAUUUUGGUACAGUUUGUACAGGAUAGGCGGGAGCCAUUGAAACCGGAGCGCUAGCUUCGGUGGAGGCGCUGGUGGGAUACCGCCCUGACUGUAUUGAAAUUCUAACCUACGGGUCUUAUCGACCCGGGAGACAGUGUCAGGUGGGCAGUUUGACUGGGGCGGUCGCCUCCUAAAGUGUAACGGAGGCGCCCAAAGGUUCCCUCAGAAUGGUUGGAAAUCAUUCGUAGAGUGCAAAGGCAUAAGGGAGCUUGACUGCGAGACCUACAAGUCGAGCAGGGACGAAAGUCGGGCUUAGUGAUCCGGUGGUUCCGCAUGGAAGGGCCAUCGCUCAACGGAUAAAAGCUACCCCGGGGAUAACAGGCUUAUCUCCCCCAAGAGUCCACAUCGACGGGGAGGUUUGGCACCUCGAUGUCGGCUCAUCGCAUCCUGGGGCUGUAGUCGGUCCCAAGGGUUGGGCUGUUCGCCCAUUAAAGCGGUACGCGAGCUGGGUUCAGAACGUCGUGAGACAGUUCGGUCCCUAUCCGUCGUGGGCGUAGGAAAUUUGAGAGGAGCUGUCCUUAGUACGAGAGGACCGGGAUGGACGCACCGCUGGUGUACCAGUUGUUCUGCCAAGGGCAUAGCUGGGUAGCUAUGUGCGGAAGGGAUAAGUGCUGAAAGCAUCUAAGCAUGAAGCCCCCCUCAAGAUGAGAUUUCCCAUAGCGUAAGCUAGUAAGAUCCCUGAAAGAUGAUCAGGUUGAUAGGUUCGAGGUGGAAGCAUGGUGACAUGUGGAGCUGACGAAUACUAAUAGAUCGAGGACUUAACCAUAUAA